UUAACUAUUCGUCUUUUCUUCAGAGGGCAUAGGUAUCUGAGUUUUGGUCUUUCGGCAGGCGUUACUGUAGGCCCGCCCUGGGCCCGCCUGCCGAAGCAACUGCCGAGAGUUCACAAGGGUUUGGAGCUUUGCAACUCGGUAAUGAUCCCUCCGCUGGUUCACCAACGGAGA
rnacentral:misc_RNA from 1 species